rnacentral:rRNA from 1 species
GCUGCUUGAUCCUGCCAGUAGUCAUAUGCUUGUCUCAAAGAUUAAGCCAUGCAUGUGUAAGUAUGAACUAAUUCAGAUUGCGAAUGGCUCAUUAAAUCAGUUAUAUUUUGUUUGAUGGUACCUGCUACUCGGAUAACCAUAGUAAUUCUAGAGCUAAUACGUGCAACAAAUCCGGACUUCUAAGAGGCAUGCAUUUAUUAGAUAAAAGGCCAACGCGAGCUUUGCCUGUCGCUUUGGGGAUUCAUGAUAACUCGACGGAUCGCACAACCUUAGUGGCCUACCAUGGCGGUGAUGGGUGACGGAGAAUUAGGGUUUCAUUCCGGAGAGGGAGCCAGACGGCUACCACAUCUAAGGAAGGCAGCAGGCGCACAAAUUACCCAAUCCUGACACGGGGAGUUAGUGACAAUAAAUAGCAAUACUGGGCUCAAUGAGUCUAGUAAUUGGAAUGAGUACAAUCUAAAUCCCUUAACGAGGAUCCACUUGAGGGGGCAAGUCUGGUGCCAGAAGCCGUGGUAAUUCCAGCUCGAAUAGCGUAUAUAUAAGUUGUUAUAGUUAAAUAGCUUGUAGUUGGACCUUGGGUUGGGACGUCCGGUGCUCCUUUUGGUGUGCACCGGCCGUCUCGGCCCUUCUGCAGGCGAUGCACUCCUGGCCUUAACUGGCCGGCUCGUGCCUCCAGCGCUGUUAUUUUGCAGAAAUUAGAGUGCUCAAAGCAAGCCUACGCUCUGUAUACAUUAGCAUGAGAUAACAUCAUAGGAUUUCAAUCCUAUUGUGUUGGCCAUCGGGAUCGGAGUAUUAAUUCGGCACAGUCGGUGGCAUUCGUAUUUCAUAGUCAGAGGUGAAAUUCUUGGAUUUAUGAUAGAUGAACAACUGCGAAAGCUUUUGCCAAUGAUAUUUUCAUUAAUCAAGAACGAAAGUUGGGGGCUUGAAGACGAUCAGAUACCGUCCUACUCUCAACCAUAAACGAUGCCGACAAGGGAUCAGUGGAUGUUUCUUUAAGGACUCCACUGGCACCUUAUGUGAAAUCAAAGUUUUUGGGUUCCGGGGGGAGUAUGGUCGAAAGGCUGAAACAUAAAGGAAUUGACAGAAGGGCACCACCAGGAGUGGAGCCUGCGGUUAAUUUAACUCAACACGGGGAAACUGACUAGGUCCAGACAUAGUAAGGAUUGACAUAUUGAGAGCUCUUUCUUGAUUCUAUGGGUGGUGGUGCAUGGCCGUUCCUAGUUGGUGGAGUGAUUUGUCUGGUUAUUUCCGUUAACGAACAAGACCUUAGCUUGCUAACUAACUAUGGGGUGGUGCCCCUCCACGGCCAGCUUCUUAGAGGGACUCUGGCGAUUUAAAGCCACGGAAGUUUGAGGCAGUGACAGGUCUGUGAUGCCCUUAGAUGUUCAAGGCCGCACGCCCGCCGAAUCUGAUGACCCGGCGCGGAUAGCGCAAAGGAUUAAGAAAGAAAGAAUGUAUCCCCCGCGCCCAUUCAAGGAAGUUAGAGGGGCGGAGGUCUGUUCAGUAAACAAUAACGUUUCUCGGCAACUGAUAUCUCGACUCUCGCUUGGUGUGAAUUGCAGAAUCCCAUGAACCAUCAAGUCUUUGAACGCAAGUUGCGCCUGAAGUCAUUAGGCCGAGGGCACGUCUACCUGGGCGUCACGUAUUGUGUUUCCUCAUCCAUAGGGGGGCGGAGC